AGGAUUCCCCUAGUAACUGCGAGUGAAGCGGGAAAAGCUCAAAUUUUGAAUCUGGCGGUCUUUUGGCCGUCCGAGUUGUAAUCUAGAGAAGUGUUUUCCGCGCUGGACCGUGUAUAAGUUUCCUGGAAUGGAACGUCGUAGAGGGUGAGAAUCCCGUCUUUGACACGGACUACCAGGGCUAUGUGAUGCGCUCUCGACGAGUCGAGUUGUUUGGGAAUGCAGCUCAAAUAGGGUGGUAAAUUCCAUCUAAAGCUAAAAUACAGGCGAGAGACCGAUAGCGAACAAGUACCGUGAGGGAAAGAUGAAAAGAACUUUGGAAAGAGAGUUAAACAGUACGUGAAAUUGCUGAAAGGGAAACGCUUGAUGUCAGUCGCGUCGGCCGGGGAUCAGCCUUGCUUUACCGCUCGGCGUACUUCCUGGUCGACGGGUCAGCAUCAGUUUUGACCGUCGGAAAAGGACUGGAGGAAUGUGGCACUCUUUCGGGAGUGUGUUAUAGACUCUGCUCGAAUACGAUGGUUGGGACUGAGGAACUCAGCACGACCUUAGGGUUCGGGGCUUCGGCCUACGUUCGCGUGCUUAGGAUGCUGGCAUAAUGGCCUUAAGCGACC
rnacentral:rRNA from 1 species